rnacentral:miRNA from 1 species
UUGAGUGAGAUUACCAAGCUU